CCUACGGGAGGCAGCAGUGAGGAAUAUUGGUCAAUGGGCGAGAGCCUGAACCAGCCAAGUCGCGUGAGGGAUGACUGCCCUAUGGGUUGUAAACCUCUUUUGUAUGGGGGGAAUAAGCUUUACGAGUAGAGUGAUGACAGUACCAUACGAAUAAGCAUCGGCUAACUCCGUGCCAGCAGCCGCGGUAAUACGGAGGAUGCGAGCGUUAUCCGGAUUUAUUGGGUUUAAGGGGUUCGCAGGCGGCCUGUUAAGUCAGCGGUAAAAGCCCGGGGCUCAACCCCGGCGAGCCGUUGAAACUGGCGGGCUGGAGUUGGAGAGAAGUACGCGGAAUGCGCGGUGUAGCGGUGAAAUGCUUAGAUAUCGCGCAGAACCCCGAUUGCGAAGGCAGCGUACCGGCUCCACACUGACGCUGAGGCACGAAAGCGUGGGUAUCGAACAGGAUUAGAUACCCUUGUAGUC
rnacentral:rRNA from 1 species